rnacentral:rRNA from 1 species
UACGGGGGGGGCAAGCGUUGUUCGGAAUUACUGGGCGUAAAGGGCUCGUAGGUGGCCAACUAAGUCAGACGUGAAAUCCCUCGGCUUAACCGGGGAACUGCGUCUGAUACUGGAUGGCUUGAGUUCGGGAGAGGGAUGCGAAAUUCCAGGUGUAGCGGUGAAAUGCGUAGAUAUCUGGAGGAACACCGGUGGCGAAGGCGGCAUCCUGGACCGACACUGACGCUGAGGAGCGAAAGCCAGGGGAGCAAACGGG